GGGUGCGCGCAUGCGCAAUUGGCUCUGAAAAGAACCUUGCUAUUGACUGCCUCUGCACUGUGGAAAUAAUCUGUUUUGACAUUACUUUAUCUGCCAUGGCUCCAGGAGGAGCAGCUAAUGCCCCAGAAGAGAAGAUAGCCUGAACUUGGAGAUAUCUGCGCUCCGCUUGGAAACGUCACAGGCUUGGACCAUUUGUCUUUUGCUCCGUAGAUAAAACACCGUUUCUCAAUA